rnacentral:rRNA from 1 species
GUCUAAUCUGCCCAAUGAUAUUUUAAAUGGCCGCGAUAUUUUGAUCGUGCGAAGGUAGCAUAAUCAUUAGUUUUUUAAUUGAAAGCUGGAAUGAAGGAUUGAACAAGAAAAUUUCUGUCUCUAUUAUAUUUUUAGAAUUUUAUUUUUAAGUCAGAAAGCUUAAAUAAUAUUAAAAGACGAGAAGACCCUAUAGAGUUUAACUUUUUAAUAAAAUUAUUAUUUUUGUUUUAUAAUUUUUAAUUUUAAAUAAAGGUUUAGUUGGGGUGACGGAAAAAUUUAGUAAACUUUUUUUUAAUAAAAUAUUUUUUGAUAGAUGGAUGAUUUACUUUUGUAAUUAUAAGAUAAAAUUACCUUAGGGAUAACAGCGUUAUUUUUUUUAGAGUUCUUAUCGAAAAUAAAAAUUGCGACCUCGAUGUUGGAUUAAAAUUUAUUUGUGGUGGAGAAGCUACAGAAUUUAGUCUGUUCGACUAUUAAAAUUUUACAUGAUCUGAGU